rnacentral:rRNA from 1 species
UACGUAGGGUGCGAGCGUUGCCCGGAUUUAUUGGGCGUAAAGGGCGCGUAGGCGGCUCGGCACGUCCGUUGUGAAAUCGCCCGGCUCAACUGGGCGGGGUCAGCGGAUACGGUUGAGCUUGAGCAAGCUAGGGGGUAAUGGAAUUCCCGGUGUAGUGGUGGAAUGCGUAGAUAUCGGGAGGAACACCAGUGGCGAAGGCGGUUACCUGGGGCUUUGCUGACGCUGAUGCGCGAAAGCGUGGGGAGCGAUCCGG